rnacentral:lncRNA from 1 species
GAGACCAGCAGGUCACCAGCAGGCCCAGCUGUGCAGCUUCUGUGUUCAGGUUCUCAUGAAGUUAGGUCUCCACUUUGCCAUCCACCUGCCUAGCUCCAGGGCCUGGGCCAGUCUGAUAUGGAUGAGCUGCUCAAACCCUCUUGAGGGGUGGGGAACUUGUAUCUAGGACAGUCAGAACACCUCAGUUUCAGGAAGCCAACUCCAUACAUUAGUUUGACUUGUGGAUUUGCUCUUCUGGAGACACCUUUAAAGGUAGCUCCCAGAAGAGGAUAUGCACUGUCUGGAUAAGUUUGAGGAUAAAAAGACAGAAAGACUCGGGUUCAAACCCCAGCUCCUCGACCUACUGCAUGUCCUUUCUAAACUCAGCCUCCUCAUCAAUGAAAAUGGGGGUACAGUAUCCACCUCAUAGGAAUGUGGAGGUCAGAAAUGAUGUAUAGUUGAAUUUUGUGAAUGGUGAUACUCAACCACUUUUGACUUAUAAAAACCACAAUUUCAUUCCAUCAGGUUCA